rnacentral:rRNA from 1 species
CAAUAGCGUAUAUUAAAGUUGUUGCAGUUAAAAAGCUCGUAGUUGGAUUUCUGGUAGGAGUGACCGUUCCGAACUUGAUUGUUCGUGUAUUGUGUUUUCUCCAGCCAUCCUUGUGGAGAACUUUUCUUGCAUUAAUUUGUAGGGAUUGGGACCCGCAUCGUUUACUGUGAAAAAAUUAGAGUGUUUAAAGCAGGCAAUCGCUUGAAUACAUUAGCAUGGAAUAAUAAGAUAGGACUUUGGUACUAUUUUGUUGGUUUGCAUACCAAAAUAAUGAUCAACAGGAACAGUUUGAGGAUAUUCGUAUGAACAUGUCAGAGGUGAAAUUCUUGGAUUUUGAUCAGACGAACUACUGCGAAAGCAUUUAUCAAGGAUGUUUUCAUUAA